rnacentral:rRNA from 1 species
UACGGAGGGUGCAAGCGUUGUCCGGAUUUAUUGGGUUUAAAGGGUGCGUAGGCGGCUUGAUAAGUCCGUGGUGAAAGCCAACAGCUCAACUGUUGAACUGCCAUGGAUACUGUCAGGCUUGAGUACAGACGAGGUAGGCGGAAUUGAUGGUGUAGCGGUGAAAUGCAUAGAUACCAUCAAGAACACCGAUAGCGAAGGCAGCUUACUAAGGAGUAACUGACGCUGAGGCACGAAAGUGUGGGGAUCAAACAGG